ensembl:lncRNA
GGGGUUCAGUGUCUUGCUCAAGGACGCUUCGACAGGGAAUCGAACUAGCAACCUUCUGAUUACUAACCGACUUCUCUACCUCCUGUACCACUGUUGCCCAGUGCCCCACAGUAGGGUGGAUCUGUUUGUGGGGUGUUAUACAACACAUCAGACACUACCACAAUCAGAGGGCAGAAAGGCCCUGAAGGUCACCUGAAGUGGCCAUGUGAGACUAAUAGCUUUGAAAGGAGACAAGGGAAAUAAAUAGAAAUAGGUGGGAGAGAGAAAAGGAACAAAUAUGGAUCAAACGAGGGCCAGGAGGAAGAAAGAGCAAAAGCAAGAAAAAAAAGGGUGGUGGGGUCGGAAAUAAGGAGAGAAAGAGCUGUUGCCAGGGCUCGUUGAAUUUGAAGACAGGAUAUAAGGCCAUCUUUAUGUGUUGGACAGAUAAGGCCAGUAAACUGCUCAAAGACAGGCCAGCUGGGAGGACCUCCACAGCCUUGUGAAAGAGACACUCAGGGAGGGGGAAGGAGCCAAGAUGGAAGGACAGGGAGAGUUGGAAAAGGCUGUUGUGAGAUGACCCUCCUGCCUGGUAGUCCAACCCUGCCCUCUCUCUAUGAGUAGAUAAUAGCCUCAAAUAAUGUCUUCACUUUUCUUUGAUUCCCAUUUGUGUUUGUGUAACCCCCCCCCUCUUUACACUCUAUACCCCCUGCAAGUGUGAGGUGAUCUGAUCUGUGUGGUGUCCUCAGCCCUUGGCCUAAGACUGGAAUAAUAGGCCAAAACCACUGUGUCAUACCCAGGACAGUGGUCUAUUCUCUUGGUAACAAACAAACAGUAGCAAGUAAAGAUGCUAUUGUGAACUGAAAGAAGUUCACAGAAUGACCUUACUGUUAUGAAGUGGACAGAAGAUGGACUGUGUAUGCGAGUGUGUGAAUGAAAACCCUAUCAAAACUCAGAUAAAGAUUUAUUCAUCCAAAACAAAAUGGUGCACUCUGCCUCUUUCACUUAUUUUGAUUUGAGAUGGUGAAUUUUACUCUUCCGUUUUGUCUGGUAUUAGACAGAACUCAGACAUUCAGAGUCCCUGAA